UACGUAGGGGGCAAGCGUUGUUCGGAAUUACUGGGCGUAAAGGGCGCGUAGGCGGCACGGCAAGUCGGGAGUGAAAGCCCGGGGCUCAACCCCGGAACGUCUUUCGAAACUGCCGAGCUAGAGUGCGGAAGGGGCAACUGGAAUUCCCAGUGUAGCGGUGAAAUGCGUAGAUAUUGGGAAGAACACCUGAGGCGAAGGCGGGUUGCUGGGCCGACACUGACGCUGAGGCACGAAGGCCAGGGGAGCAAACGGG
rnacentral:rRNA from 1 species